GACGUAGGGGGCGAGCGUUGUCCGGAUUUAUUGGGCGUAAAGCGUGCGUAGGCGGCUGCGCAAGUCGGGUGUGAAACCCCGGGGCUCAACCCCGGAACUGCAUCCGAUACUGCGUGGCUAGAGGUAGGUAGGGGAGAUCGGAAUUCCUGGUGUAGCGGUGAAAUGCGUAGAUACCAGGAGGGACACCGGUGGCGAAAGCGGUUUCCUGGCCGAGUACUGACGCUGAGGCACGAAAGCGUGGGGAGCGAACGGGG
rnacentral:rRNA from 1 species